GUGAUAGUGGCUGCCGUGUUGUUGCUGGGGACCUCCCCCAACAGAGGAUCAGACACAGAUCCCGAACUCUGAGGCUUGGAACCCUAGACUGCACUUGAACUAUGAGAUCAGUGACAGGAAUAGCAAUUCUCCUGGCUUUUGGUAUUAUUGGUGAUGCUAAGACCACACAGCCAAAUGCAAUGGAUUGUACUGAAGAAGAAACUGUGCACCUGCCCUGUAACCACUCCACAAUCAGUGGAAAUGAGUAUAUAUAUUGGUAUCGACAGAUUCCCCACCAGGGUCCAGAGUAUGUGAUUUAUGGUCUAAAAAGCAAUGUGACCAAUGGAAUGGCCUCUUUGACCAUCACAACAGACAGAAAGUCCAGUAUCCUGAUCCUGCCCCAGGUCACCCUGAGAGACACUGCUGUGUACUACUGCAUCGUGAGAGAGGCACAUUGGGACAGAUGGGGCUGCACCUGUGCAAGAUCUCCCUGGUGGGGGAAGGGAAGCAGCAGCAGGCAUCCAAAAAUGACACUGCCUCAGAAUGAGCAGAAGCCCAAGAGAAGAAGAAGAAAAGUAAAGGAGGAAAAAAGGAAAAGGAGUAAAGAUAAGAUCAUGAGGAAAUCAAGGAGGAAUGAAAGUAACAAAGAGGAUGAGGAGGAAAGGCUUACAUUAUUGAAGAGACUGAGAAGCUUGGGAGAAAACUAAGAAUCACAAUUGAAAUCCUGCAAUAAAGGGGAAAAGAAAUGAGAAUUUGCCAUGGCUCUUUGUUUUAAUCAAAUGUUACUUUCUUUGUAGGUCUCACUAAAAAAGGUGAGAACAACCAUUUGGUUGUCCCAAAGACUUUCUCCCUUUGGACCCAGAGAAGUGCCCAGGCUCUGGAUAUGGCAUCACAUUACUCCUUUCAACUUCUCAAAAAUGGAAAUGAAUUUUAGAAACUGAUUCAUUUGUCCUUGAGAAAAAUUUGGUAUUUUCUUUUUUGCUUAUCUGUAGCAUGUACAUUUGAGAUAUAGAAGAUUUGGCGAAAGAAGUAAAAACGGUACAGAUAUGUGGAUGUUAAUUUCACUUUUUAUUUUAUUUUGUAAUAUUUUUAUUAUUACACAAAAAUACACAAAUCCUUUCUCACUGUAAAAGACUCAAUAUAUUAUAUAAGUAUGUGGAGUAAAAUCUGAAAGCCCAAAACUGACUCUCCACAUCUCUGUUCCAUUUCCUCUUCGAGUCCUGUAGUCACCCAUUUUGUCAGAUUGGAGUGUGUCCUGCCAAUCACUUCCUUUCCACUUACCUGGAUACUCAUGGAAAGA